GUUAAGGAGAAUGUUGUCUGGUUCGUGACCAAUCUGUAAACAGUAAUUAGCUCUCGGACCAGGCUUCAUUCCCCUCAAC
rnacentral:pre_miRNA from 1 species